rnacentral:rRNA from 1 species
GAUGACAAUAGCAGUCUGGUACCACCUGAUCCCAUUUCGAACUCAGAGUGAAACGGACUAACGCCAAUGGUAGUGCAGGGUCUCCCUGUGUGAGAGUA